GCCUCGCUAGUUUAGUGGCUAAAACACAUCCCUGUCGCGGAUGAGUCCCGAGUUCGAUUCUCGGGCGGGGCG
rnacentral:tRNA from 1 species